CCGAGCUCCCCGAAAAUACAAAUCAAAACCUGAACAAUAAAUAGGAAUUCCCCAGGGGGGAGGAAAAGGAGGGGUUUGCAUAGAGGAAGAUUUAAUAAAAAAGUUUUUUUCGUUGUUUUUUUUUUUCUUUUUUUUUUUCCUGGCUUAUUAUUAAUUAUUAAUUAUUAUUAUUAUUAAUUAAUUAUUAUUAUUUCUAAAAUCUCCCCGCGGAAGGAGCUAGGAACUGAUCGUCGAGAUGUGAUUAACAAAAAUAAUUCAACCUUCUCCCAAUAACUUACAGGAGUUCACCCAGGGGGAACUUUUGUGCUUAUUUUUGUGGUUUUGGGGUCAAGCUCUGACCCCAAAAAACCCCAGGGGGGUUUUGGGGGGACCCUCAGCCCCCUCCUGCCUGUACAACUUUGGUCACUAGCGCUGUGUCACCCCAAAAUCCAAACUCUAAAAAUCCAGACCCUGAAGUCCAAACCCCAAAAGUCCAGACCUCAAAAUCCAGACCCUAAAAUCCCCGGGCCAGCAGGGAAGGGGCUGGGAUUGAUCCAGGAGACCCCAAAAACACCGGACAGGGGUCGGGAUUCCCAUCCCAGGAGAUCCCAAAACGGUGGACGAGACCCCAAAGGGCCGAGGAGACCCCAAAGGUUUGGAAUUCCCAUCCCAGGAUGGGAAGGAGAACCUAAAGUGAUGGAAAUCCCAUCCCGGGGAUCCCAAAGGUUUGGGGUGUCCAUCCCGAGGGUCCUGGAAGGUUUGGGGUGUCCAUCCUGGGGUUCCUGGCAGGGUUUGGGGUGGAGCCUGGAAGGUUUUGGGGUUCCCACAAGGUUUGGGAUGGACCCUGAAAGGAUUGAGAUGUCCACCCUGGGGUUUCUGGAAGGGUUGGGAUGUCCAUCCCAAGGGUCCUGGAGGGGUUGGCCUGUCCAUCCCAGGGUUCCUGAAAGGUUUGGAUGGACCUGGAAGGGCUGGGAUGUCCAUGUCCAUUCCAGAUCUAGAAGGGUUGGGGUGUCCAUCCCAGGUUUCCUGAAGGAUUGGGAUGUCCAUCCCAGAUCUCCUGGAAGGGUUGGGAUGUCCAUGUCCAUCCCAGAUCUCCUGCAGGGUUAGGAUGUCUAUCCUGGGAUUCCUGGCAGGAUCAGGAUGUCCAUGUCCAUCCCAGGUCUCCUGAAAGGCUGGGAUGUCCAUCCCAGAUCUAGAAGGGUUGGGAUGUCCAUGUCCAUCCCAGAUCUAGAAGGGUUGAGAUAUCCAUGUCCAUCCCAGGUCCCCUGGCAGGGUUGGGGUGUCCAUCCUGGCAGGGUUGGGAUGUCCAUGUCCAUCCCAGAUCUAGAAGAGUUGGGAUGUCCAUGUCCAUCCCAGAUCUAGAAGAGUUGUGAUGUCCAUGUCCAUCCCAGAUCCCGUGGCAGGGUUGGGGUGCCCAUCCUGGCAGGGUUGGGGUGUCCAU